ensembl:misc_RNA Metazoa_SRP Metazoan signal recognition particle RNA
GCCGGGCGUGGUGGCGCGCGCCUGUAGUCCCAGCUACUCGGGAGGCUGAGGUGGGAGGAUCGCUUGAGUCCAGGAGUUCUGGGCUGCAGUGCGCUAUGCCGAUCGGGUGUCCGCACUAAGUUCGGCAUCAAUAUGGUGACCUCCCGGGAGCGGGGGACCACCAGGUUGCCUAAGGAGGGGUGAACCGGCCCAGGUCGGAAACGGAGCAGGUCAAAAUAUACUUUGGUAGUAGGACUAAUAGAACUUAAUAGCGCAUUAGCUAUGAGAUGGGGCUGAGGGAAAGAGACCAAUUGA